CCUACGGGCGGCAGCAGUGAGGAAUAUUGGUCAAUGGCCGCAGGGCUGAACCAGCCAAGUCGCGUGAGGGAUGACGGUCCUAUGGAUUGUAAACCUCUUUUGUCAGGGAGCAAAGGGCGCCACGUGUGGCGCUUUGCGAGUACCUGAAGAAAAAGCAUCGGCUAACUCCGUGCCAGCAGCCGCGGUAAUACGGAGGAUGCGAGCGUUAUCCGGAUUUAUUGGGUUUAAAGGGUGCGCAGGCGGAAUGUCAAGUCAGCGGUAAAAUUUCGGGGCUAAACCCCGUCGUGCCGUUGAAACUGGCGUUCUUGAGUGAGCGAGAAGUAUGCGGAAUGCGUGGUGUAGCGGUGAAAUGCAUAGAUAUCACGCAGAACUACGAUUGCGAAGGCAGCAUACCGGCGCUCAACUGACGCUCAUGCACGAAAGCGUGGGUAUCGAACAGGAUUAGAUACCCCUGUAGUC
rnacentral:rRNA from 1 species